GCAUACAAAAUAGUGGUAGAGCGUGGGAUUGCAGACCCCAAGGUCACGCGUUCAAAUCGCGUUUGGGCC